rnacentral:rRNA from 1 species
GACGAACGCUGGCGGCGUGCUUAACACAUGCAAGUGGAGCGACGAACCAGGGCUUGCCCUGGGGCAGAGCCGCGAACGGGUGAGUAACACGUGGGUAACCUGCCCCGAUCACCGGGACAACCCGAGGAAACUCGGGCUAAUACCGGAUGAGCUCACGCCACAUCAGUGGCAUGAGGAAAGGUAGCUUCGGCUUCCGGAUUGGGAUGGGCCCGCGGCCCAUUAGCUUGUUGGUGGGGUAACGGCCUACCAAGGCGACGAUGGGUAGCUGGUCUGAGAGGACGAUCAGCCACACUGGGACUGAGACACGGCCCAGACUCCUACGGGAGGCUG